GAUGAAGAACGUAGUGAAAUGCGAUAAGUAAUGUGAAUUGCAGAAUUCAGUGAAUCAUCGAAUCUUUGAACGCACAUUGCGCCCGCCAGUAUUCUGGCGGGCAUGCCUGUCUGAGCGUCAUUUCAACCCUCAUGCCCCUAGGGCGUGGUGUUGGGGAUCGGCCAAAGCCCGCGAGGGACGGCCGGCCCCUAAAUCUAGUGGCGGACCCGUCGUGGCCUCCUCUGCGAAGUAGUGAUAUUCCGCAUCGGAGAGCGAUGAGCCCCUGCCGUUAAACCCCCAACUUUCCAAGGUUGACCUCAGAUCAGGUAGGAAUACCCGCUGAACUUAAGCAUAUCAAUAAGCGGAAGA
rnacentral:misc_RNA from 1 species